CGUAACAAGGUCUCCGUUGGUGAACCAGCGGAGGGAUCAUUACCGAGUUUACAACUCCCAAACCCAUGUGAACAUACCUAUUGUUGCUUCGGCGGGAUUGCCCCGGGCGCCUCGCGUGCCCCGGAUCAGGCGCCCGCCUAGGAACUUUAACUCUUGUUUUAUUUUGAAUCUUCUGAGUAGUUUUUACAAAUAAAUAAAAACUUUCAACAACGGAUCUCUUGGUUCUGGCAUCGAUGAAGAACGCAGCGAAAUGCGAUAAGUAAUGUGAAUUGCAGAAUUCAGUGAAUCAUCGAAUCUUUGAACGCACAUUGCGCCCGCCAGUAUUCUGGCGGGCAUGCCUGUCUGAGCGUCAUUUCAACCCUCAUGCCCCUAGGGCGUGGUGUUGGGGAUCGGCCAAAGCCCGCGAGGGACGGCCGGCCCCUAAAUCUAGUGGCGGACCCGUCGUGGCCUCCUCUGCGAAGUAGUGAUAUUCCGCAUCGGAGAGCGAUGAGCCCCUGCCGUUAAACCCCCAACUUUCUAAGGUUGACCUCAGAUCAGGUAGGAAUACCCGCUGAACUUAAGCAUAUCA
rnacentral:rRNA from 1 species